UCUAACAUGUGGCGAAAACAAGAAGUACUGAAUAAUAUACGGAUUGUGAUAUAAAUAUCUGAAUAGUUGUUAGAUUACCUCCCAAUAGUCCCAGUGCAGCCCUGGUGUAAGUUGGCUGAGUUCUGUCAGGAAACACCACCAUACUCAGAUUGCUUGGUAUACGCUCAUACCUUACGAGAAUUCUCUCGAGUGAUUUACGUAUUAUUGUGCAACACGGAAUCUCACGUUGCUCCAUCGGCCUAUUUGGCAGCGUGAGCUUGGAUAAUCUGUCCACAAUAUCUACAACUAUGUGACGGACGACAUCUUCAGUGCCGCCAGCAAAUGCUAGAUUGAGUACGACGCAGAGUGCUUUGCAAUUAAUAGGAAUUAAUGACCUCUGUUAUACGACAUACUUAAUCGGGUUUAAUAACAUCCGUAGUUGUGAAAUUGGCCAAUCACAGUCGUUCCAUUCCUCCGAAGAGCUAUGGUUGGCCAAUUUCAUAACUACGAAUGUUAUUAAACCCGAUUAAGCAUGCCGUGUAACAGACGUCAGUGGAUGCAUUCAUUAGAUGCAUUCAGAAGCACGACUGCUCACUGAGCGCUCAGUGAACUCUUGCAUCUGAUUGGCAUAUUUCAUUGGAUAUAGAAAUAUAGACUAAACAGAUACAAGAGUUCACUGAGCACUCACAAGGGACCGUUACAUAAUGACCAAAAAUUUAUUAUAUAAAUUAGAUGAUGAUUUUGUGAUAAUCCGAUAAAAUACCCUUCAAUGAGUGACAUGUGAAGUUCAUUUGAUAAUGUAACGUGUAUUACUGGAUUUUUGGAUUGAGAAAGUUGACUGCCAGUGAGGUCCGCAAAGCCCAUAGUCAAGGCACCAUUGCACUCUCAAACAUGCAUACGCAGUCAAAUGGCAUGAGAGUAACCACUAACAUUGAUGAUACCGAUAAAUCGAGACAUACACUUGCUCCUCAUCUGGAUGGUAGGCACAUUGGGAACACGGUACACCAAGGAUGCGUUCGUAAACCUUACCCUGUGAGAUACGGGUAAACUUCGUGGAAAAUGUACGGUGACAGUUUGAGGAAUAUGUUAACAUCCUACAGUUUAUAAACGAUCUGGAAUAACCUGCAUAGCUUUUAUAGUAUAUUAUGAACAUCAUAAAAAAUUACGUCAUUAAAUCAUUAUUAUAGAAAGUAACGGUAAAAGUAACGACAUUAUUUUCUUCUCAUCUGUGGUAAAGCAGAUUAUUAAACACAUCCGAAAAAAAAUAUGAGUAACGACAGAGAGAAGUUUAAAAAAGUAAUCGCCACGUUACUAUCAAGAAAAAGACUUUUGUCUUUAUACAAAUUUUAUUCCAGUUCAUCAUCUGAUAGUGAAACAGAAAUUUUGUUAACAUACUUUGCUCAGAAAAAAAGAAGAACAAGGCCAAUCGAAUCCAAUACUACGUUGAACAAACUGUUCAUCAUUUCAGCAACAAAGAAUUUCAGGCAAUUUUAGAAUCACGUGUGAAACCUUUCAAAAUUUACUCACUAUUAUCGGUCCGAAGAUAGAAAAUUCUACUGAAACUGGGAGACCAAUGGUUUCAGCAGAGAAGCAAUUAUUAGCAAUAAUAUGGCUCUUAGCGACGCCAGAUUCUUAUAGAUAUAUCAAUCUGCGAAAGAUUUGAUUUAAGCAGAUCUACAUUGUUUUCCUGCUUUGUUCGAGUUAUGAAAGCUUUAAAUGAGAUGGCACCGCAUGUGAUUCAUUGGCCAACAAAACAAGAUCUUCCAUCGAUAAAAGAAAAAUUUAAAGCUAUGGCUGGAAUUGAUGGUGUUAUAGAUGCUCUCGAUGAGACAUAUAUGUCAAUUAAAGCACUAUCAAAGGAUGCUGAAACAUACAGAAAUCGCAAACAACAUGUCAUAAGGCAAUAUGUGAUGUUUAAAAUUCAUAGAUUGUUUUGCAGGUUAUUCUAGUUCAGUACAUGAUGCUAGAAUUUUUAGAAAUUCUAGCAUCAUGUACUGAUAUUUAUUCGAUACGUCAAAAUCUAGAUAAAUAUUUUCUACAUGAGGAAUUUAUUUUAGCUGAUAAAGCUUAUCCUACUUUCAAGUGGUGUAUUACUCCAUACAUGAAUCGAGAAAAUUUAACAAGACAGCAGGAAAAUUUUAAUACACGCAGACAAGAUAAACAAUUGAAAGAGCAUUUGCUCUUUCAUUUGGUCAAUUUAGACGAUUAAAAUACUUGGAUAUGAACAGAAUCGAUUUAAUACUUGCAACAAUACUUACAUGUUAUUUUGCACAACAUAUGCCUUGAUUUUGAUGAUGAUUUAAUACGCGAAUAUGUAGAAGAAGGUAUGGAGGCAAUAAUGCAUAAUGAACAGGAAGAGAUUAUGAAUGAGAUGAAUGAAGAGAAAAAACGACUUGAAAAUGAACGACAAGAUGCACUAUGCAGAGAAUUAUAUUGUAACGGCGGUCGACAAAUAUGAUAUUCUGAGUGCAUGUUAUUUUAAAAUAUUCCUAUGUUUUAUUACAUUGAUUUCGAAGAAU